AACGAACGCUGGCGGCAGGCUUAACACAUGCAAGUCGAACGCAUCCUUCGGGGUGAGUGGCAGACGGGUGAGUAACGCGUGGGAACGUGCCCUUCAGUUCGGGAUAACCCAGGGAAACUUGGGCUAAUACCGGAUACGUGCGAGAGCAGAAAGAUUUAUCGCUGAAGGAUCGGCCCGCGUCUGAUUAGCGAGUUGGUGGGGUAAUGGCCCACCAAGGCGACGAUCAGUAGCUGGUCUGAGAGGAUGAGCAGCCACAUUGGGACUGAGACACGGCCCAAACUCCUACGGGAGGCAGCAGUGGGGAAUAUUGGACAAUGGGCGCAAGCCUGAUCCAGCCAUGCCGCGUGAGUGAUGAAGGCCUUAGGGUUGUAAAGCUCUUUCGUCCGGGACGAUAAUGACGGUACCGGAAGAAGAAGCCCCGGCUAACUUCUUGCCAGCCGCCGCCGUAA
rnacentral:rRNA from 1 species